rnacentral:rRNA from 1 species
UGUCUGAAUAUGGGGGGACCAUCCUCCAAGGCUAAAUACUCCUGACUGACCGAUAGUGAACCAGUACCGUGAGGGAAAGGCGAAAAGAACCCCUGUGAGGGGAGUGAAAUAGAUCCUGAAACCGCAUGCAUACAAGCAGUGGGAGCACCUUCGUGGUGUGACUGCGUACCUUUUGUAUAAUGGGUCAGCGACUUAUAUUCAGUAGCAAGGUUAACCGUAUAGGGGAGCCGUAGAGAAAUCGAGUCUUAAUAGGGCGUUUAGUUGCUGGGUAUAGACCCGAAACCAGGCGAUCUAUCCAUGAGCAGGUUGAAGGUUGGGUAACACUAACUGGAGGACCGAACCCACUGUCGUUGAAAAGCCAGGGGAUGACUUGUGGAUAGGGGUGAAAGGCUAAUCAAGCCUGGUGAUAGCUGGUUCUCCCCGAAAGCUAUUUAGGUAGCGCCUCGGACGAAUACCAUAGGGGGUAGAGCACUGUUUCGGCUAGGGGGUCAUCCCGACUUACCAAACCGAUGCAAACUCCGAAUACCUAUGAGUACUAUCCGGGAGACAGACUGCGGGUGCUAACGUCCGUAGUCAAGAGGAAAACAAUCCAGACCGCCAGCUAAGGCCCCAAAAUCAUAGUUAAGUGGGAAACGAUGUGGGAAGGCAUAGACAGCUAGGAGGUUGGCUUAGAAGCAGCCACCCUUUAAAGAAAGCGUAAUAGCUCACUAGUCGAGUCGGCCUGCGCGGAAGAUGUAACGGGGCUAAAACUAUGUGCCGAAGCUGCGGAUUUGACAUUAGUCAAGUGGUAGGGGAGCGUUCUGUAAGCCGAUGAAGGUGUAUUGAGAAGUAUGCUGGAGGUAUCAGAAGUGCGAAUGCUGACGUGAGUAACGACAAAACGGGUGAAAAACCCGUUCGCCGAAAGACCAAGGGUUCCAGUCCAACGUUAAUCGGGGCUGGGUGAGUCGACCCCUAAGGCGAGGCCGAAAGGCGUAGUCGAUGGGAAAAUGGUUAAUAUUCCAUUACUUCUGUGUAAUGCGAUGAGAGGACGGAGAAGGCUAAAUCAGCCUGGCGUUGGUUGUCCAGGUGAAAGGAUGUAGGCAUGUAUCUUAGGCAAAUCCGGGGUACUCUAUGCUGAGAUCUGAUAGCAAGCUGUACUUGUACAGCGAAGUGGUUGAUGCCAUGCUUCCAGGAAAAGUCUCUAAGCUUCAGUUACACAGGAAUCGUACCCGAAACCGACACAGGUGGUCAGGUCGAGUAGACCAAGGCGCUUGAGAGAACUCUGCUGAAGGAACUAGGCAAAAUGGUACCGUAACUUCGGGAGAAGGUACGCUGUUGUUGGUGAUGGAACUCGCUUCCUGAGCUGACGACAGCCGCAGAAACCAGGCCGCUGCAACUGUUUAUUAAAAACAUAGCACUCUGCAAACACGAAAGUGGACGUAUAGGGUGUGAUGCCUGCCCGGUGCUGGAAGGUUAAUUGAUGGGGUUAGCGUAAGCGAAGCUCUUGAUCGAAGCCCCAGUAAACGGCGGCCGUAACUAUAACGGUCCUAAGGUAGCGAAAUUCCUUGUCGGGUAAGUUCCGACCUGCACGAAUGGCAUAAUGAUGGCGGCGCUGUCUCCAGCAGAGGCUCAGUGAAAUCGAAAUCGCUGUGAAGAUGCAGUGUACCCGCGGCUAGACGGAAAGACCCCGUGAACCUUUACUGCAGCUUGACACUGAACUUUGACCUUACUUGUGUAGGAUAGGUGGGAGGCUUUGAAGCUGGAACGCUAGUUCCAGUGGAGCCGUCCUUGAAAUACCACCCUGGUAAUGUUGAGGUUCUAACUCUGUCCCGUGAUCCGGGACGAGGACCGUGUCUGGUGGGUAGUUUGACUGGGGCGGUCUCCUCCUAAAGAGUAACGGAGGAGUACGAAGGUGCGCUCAGCGUGGUCGGAAAUCACGCGUAGAGUAUAAAGGCAAAAGCGCGCUUAACUGCGAGACCCACAAGUCGAGCAGGUACGAAAGUAGGUCUUAGUGAUCCGGUGGUUCUGUAUGGAAGGGCCAUCGCUCAACGGAUAAAAGGUACUCUGGGGAUAACAGGCUGAUACCGCCCAAGAGUUCAUAUCGACGGCGGUGUUUGGCACCUCGAUGUCGGCUCAUCUCAUCCUGGGGCUGAAGCAGGUCCCAAGGGUAUGGCUGUUCGCCAUUUAAAG